CGUUUCUAGAGGUGACUCUGUCCUUUGCGUGACGGAUGUGAGGGGAGCUGAGGUCUGGUCUUUGAGAGGUCCAAGCUAUGAUGGGCCUUGGAUUAAGCCAGUUCAUCCUGUGUUCCCCCGCCAAAUUGGUAGCAGAUCCUCAUGAGGAUUUAUGGCAGACCUCUGAACUUCAAAAGCCAGGAAACUUAGUGGCUCUGAAAGAACACUGAAACUGCCAGAGGCUUCCAGAGAAGGGUAUGGCUCUCAGCUUCUAUUAGGAGAAUUGUCAUUUAUGUGACACAGGAGCAUGUGGACGUAGAAACCACAUAACCACUGACAAAACAUUAUUGGGUAACUAGAUUAAGAAGAAAAAGCAUCAACUCAUCUAGAAGUCCCACACCUCCAAUCCUGCCCUUAUAUGAGACUUCAGGUCGACAAGGUAUGUCCCAAAUGCUCCUACAACAUGAUAUAUUUGAUUAGGCAUUAGUCUAGU